UACCAAUUCAAGGUGCGUAGC
rnacentral:piRNA from 1 species